rnacentral:rRNA from 1 species
UACGAAGGGUGCAAGCGUUACUCGGAAUUACUGGGCGUAAAGCGUGCGUAGGUGGUUUGUUAAGUCUGUUGUGAAAGCCCCGGGCUCAACCUGGGAAUGGCAAUGGAUACUGGCAGGCUAGAGUGCGGUAGAGGGUAGUGGAAUUCCCGGUGUAGCGGUGAAACGCGUAGAGAUCGGGAGGAACACCAGUGGCGAAGGCGGCUACCUGGACCAGCACUGACACUGAGGCACGAAAGCGUGGGGAGCAAACAGG